CUUUCAAACAAUGAAGAAGAUAACUUUAUAGCAAGUAGAGAGCUGCUAAUGGAGGAUAUAGUUCAGGGAAUUGUGCCGUACCUGGGAACUUUCUUAACAGAGUUUUCAGUGCUGGAUUCAGCUUUCCCUAAUUACUAUUCAAAUGGCUGGAUCAACUUUGACAAGAGACAAAAACUCCUCUGAACUCGAGAAACCGCCAAAGCCCAAAAAGAGUGUGUUGAAG